UACAGAGGGUGCAAGCGUUGUUCGGAAUUAUUGGGCGUAAAGGGCGCGUAGGCGGUGCGGUAAGUCUGUAGUGAAAUCUCUGGGCUCAACUCAGAGUCUGCUAUAGAAACUGCCGUGCUUGAGUGUGGGAGAGGUGAGUGGAAUUCCCGGUGUAGCGGUGAAAUGCGUAGAUAUCGGAAGGAACGCCCGUGGCGAAAGCGAGGUCCUGGACGUCAUCUGACGCUGAGACGCGAAAGCUAGGGGAGCGAACGGG
rnacentral:rRNA from 1 species